rnacentral:SRP_RNA from 1 species
CGGCAAGUCCUACACAACCAGCUCCUGUCGAAUCCCCCAGGGUGGGAACGCAGCAAGGGUAGAUGGUCGCAGCGGUGUGAUGUAUGGUACUUGCCAUUU